AUUGAACGCUGGCGGCAUGCUUUACACAUGCAAGUCGAACGGUAACAGGCCGCAAGGUGCUGACGAGUGGCGAACGGGUGAGUAAUGCAUCGGAACGUGCCCAGUCGUGGGGGAUAACGCAGCGAAAGCUGUGCUAAUACCGCAUACGAUCUAUGGAUGAAAGCGGGGGACCGUAAGGCCUCGCGCGAUUGGAGCGGCCGAUGUCAGAUUAGGUAGUUGGUGGGGUAAAGGCCCACCAAGCCAACGAUCUGUAGCUGGUCUGAGAGGACGACCAGCCACACUGGGACGGUGCCACGGCCAAGACUCCUACGGGAGGCAGCAGUGGGGAAUUUUGGACAAUGGGCGCAAGCCUGAUUCAGCAAUGCCGCGUGCAGGAAGAAGGCCUUCGGGUUGUAAACUGCUUUUGUACGGAACGAAACGGUCUGGGUUAAUACCCUGGGCUAAUGACGGUACCGUAAGAAUAAGCACCGGCUAACUACGUGCCAGCCGCCGCCGUAACAC
rnacentral:rRNA from 1 species